UACAGAGGGUGCGAGCGUUGUCCGGAAUCACUGGGCGUAAAGGGCGCGUAGGUGGCCCGACAAGUCCGUGGUGAAAGCUCGACGCUCAACGUCGAGUCGGCCAUGGAUACUGUUGGGCUGGAGCACUGUAGAGGCUCAUGGAAUUCCGGGUGUAGCGGUGGAAUGCGUAGAGAUCCGGAAGAACACCGGUGGCGAAGGCGGUGAGCUGGGCAGUUGCUGACACUGAGGCGCGACGAGCGUGGGGAGCAAACAGG
rnacentral:rRNA from 1 species